UUUGAGGAUACUUAAGUGAUUCUUUCAAUCUCUUGAUAUAAGUUCUUAGGUGGGCCAUUUUUGGUAAGCAGAACUGGCGAUGUGGGAUGAACCGAACGUUAAGUUAAAGUGCCAAAUAGUACGCUCAUGAGAUACCAUAAAAGGUGUUGGUUCAUUUUGACAGCAGGACGGUGGCCAUGGAAGUCGGAACCCCGCUAAGGAGUGUGUAACAACUCACCUGCCGAAUGAACUAGCCCUGAAAAUGGAUGGCGCUUAAGCGUAUAACUUAUACUUAACCCUUACUUGAAUCAUUAUAACGAGUAAGGAGUAGGAGGGCGUAAAGUUUCUAUUAUAAUGGCUGUUAAGCAUCUAAGCGUGAGCUUAUGUGGAGCAAACUUUUAGUGUAGAUCUUGGUGGUAGUAGCAAAUAUUCAAAUGAGAACUUUGAAGACUGAAGUGGAG
rnacentral:rRNA from 1 species